AUUGAACGCUGGCGGCAUGCUUUACACAUGCAAGUCGAACGGUAACAGGGAGCUUGCUCCGCUGACGAGUGGCGAACGGGUGAGUAAUGCGUCGGAACGUGCCGAGUAGUGGGGGAUAACGCAUCGAAAGGUGUGCUAAUACCGCAUACGAACUGAGGUUGAAAGUGGGGGACCUUCGGGCCUCACGCUAUUCGAGCGGCCGACGUCUGAUUAGCUAGUUGGUGAGGUAAAGGCUCACCAAGGCGACGAUCAGUAGCGGGUCUGAGAGGAUGAUCCGCCACACUGGGACUGAGACACGGCCCAGACUCCUACGGGAGGCAGCAGUGGGGAAUUUUGGACAAUGGGGGCAACCCUGAUCCAGCAAUGCCGCGUGAGUGAAGAAGGCCUUCGGGUUGUAAAGCUCUUUUGUCAGGGAAGAAACGGUUGUGGCUAAUAUCCAUGGCUAAUGACGGUACCUGAAGAAUAAGCACCGGCUAACUACGUGCCAGCCGCCGCAGUAAUAC
rnacentral:rRNA from 1 species